GGACAUGUCGAGGUGACUGCUGACAACUGACAAUUGCAUUCGGUUUUCAUACUUCAACUAUCAUUAUGCCUAUGACACGUAGACAAGCUUACAAAGAAAUUAUAAAGAUGGCAGCAUAUAUGUCCUUUCCAUUUUGUGUGUAUGUUUUCGGAAACAGAGAUUAUAUGUUUGAAGGUCUUAUUGAAAAAAAAUUAAAGGGAGUCAAUCAAGGAACAGUUUGCUAUCAGCUUUAGAAACCCUACCAUGGAUUAUGUGUUUGAUAUUACCAGAAAGAUAGAUGAAUUAUUUACCUUUAAAAAGAAAAAAGAUUAAUAAUUGAUUUCGUACAAAUGAUAGUUGGAGAUGUUAAAAUAGACGAAAAAUGUGUAAUACCGCAGGAACUUUAAGUUGGUACAUAUAAACACAAGUCAAAUACAUGUAUGACUUGAUCAUUCAAAUCAUGUCAGCGACUUUUGUACAAAUGUUUUACUAUAUAUCUCAUGUUUUGUUUUUACGAUGCAUUGUAAAUAAAUAAUUUAAUAAAAAAUAGUGUUUAAAAAAGUA